rnacentral:rRNA from 1 species
GACGAACGCUGGCGGCGUGCCUAAUACAUGCAAGUUGAGCGCUGAAGGUUGGUACUUGUACCAACUGGAUGAGCAGCGAACGGGUGAGUAACGCGUGGGGAAUCUGCCUUUGAGCAGGGGACAACAUUUGGAAACGAAUGCUAAUACCGCAUAAAAACUUUAAACACAAGUUUUAAGUUUGAAAGAUGCAAUUGCAUCACUCAAAGAUGAUCCCGCGUUGUAUUAGCUAGUUGGUGAGGUAAAGGCUCACCAAGGCGAUGAUGCAUAGCCGACCUGAGAGGGUGAUCGGCCACAUUGGGACUGAGACACGGCCCAAACUCCUACGGGAGGCAGCAGUAGGGAAUCUUCGGCAAUGGACGAAAGUCUGACCGAGCAACGCCGCGUGAGUGAAGAAGGUUUUCGGAUCGUAAAACUCUGUUGGUAGAGAAGAACGUUGGUGAGAGUGGAAAGCUCACCAAGUGACGGUAACUACCCAGAAAGGGACGGCUAACUACGUG